GAUGAACGCUGGCGGCGUGCCUAAUACAUGCAAGUCGAACGAAGAUCUAGCUUGCUAGAUCUUAGUGGCGAACGGGUGAGUAAUACAUAAAUAAUCUGCCCAUAUGACUGGGAUAACUAUUGGAAACGAUAGCUAAUACCGGAUAGGUUGAUUGGAGGCAUCUCUGAUUAAUUAAAGUAGGAUUUCUACACAAAUGGAUGAGUUUAUGGCGCAUUAGUUAGUUGGUGGGGUAACGGCCUACCAAGACGAUGAUGCGUAGCCGACCUGAGAGGGUGACCGGCCAAACUGGGACUGGGACACGGCCCAGACUCCUACGGGAGGCAGCAGUAGGGAAUUUUCGGCAAUGGGCGCAAGCCUGACCGAGCAACGCCGCGUGAGUGAUUAAGGCCUUCGGGUUGUAAAGCUCUGUUGUAAGGGAAGAACAUUCAGGAUAGGAAAUGAUCUUGAACUGACGGUACCUUACCAGAAAGCCACGGCUAACUACGUGCCAGCAGCCGCAGUAAUAC
rnacentral:rRNA from 1 species